AACGAACGCUGGCGGCAUGCCUAACACAUGCAAGUCGAACGAGACCUUCGUGUCUAGUUGCGCACGGGUGCGUAACGCGUGGGAACCUGCCCUUAGGUUCGGAAUAACUCCCCGAAAGGGGUGCUAAUACCGGUUAAUGUCUUCGGACCAAAGAUUUAUCGCGUUUGGAUGGGCCCGCGUUGGCUUAGCUGGUUGGUAGUGUAAAAGCCUACCAAGGCGACGAUCCAUAGCUGGUAUGAGAGGAUGAUCAGCCACACUGGGACUGAGACACGGCCCAGAAUCCUACGCAAGGGAGCAGUGGGGAAUAUUGGACGAUGGGCGCAGGCCUGAUCCAGCAAUGCCGCGUAAGUGAUGAAGGCCUUAGGGUUGUGAAGCUCUUUUAGCCGGGAUGAUAAUGACGGUACCGGGAGAAUAAGCUCCGGCUAACUCCGUG
rnacentral:rRNA from 1 species